AUGUGGGGCGCUGACCUGGGCGCCCUCCUCACUUCCCACACUCCUCCUCCUCACCCCCCUUUCCUGCAUUUCCAGAGCUGAUACGGUUUAGCGGGGAGCUCUCCACCCUGCUGGAGGAGCUGGUGAACAUGCAGGCUCCCAGGCCCCACCUCCAGCCUGACACAGCGGCCCCCCUUCACAUUCAGGGUACAAAACCCGAAGCGAGGACACCUGGGACACAGAGGCCAGGCCCUGAGGCUCGUCCGCCACCCUGGCCUCCCGCCUGCCAGCCUUCCUCUGGGUGGCCCCCGGAGGCCUCUCUGGCCUCACAGCGUUUGGGGGCCGGAAGCUGCCAGCACUCGUAAUUAAAGGCUUCCUACACAGGAACCACAGGUGCCCGGACCCAGGCCCCCACCCCCGAGCUCAGGCCCUCUGGGCCCCAUUCCUGGUGCAGACACGAAAGGAAUAUCAGCACAGAGGAGCAAGGACCCAGCACGACCAUGACCACGCACGGCCGUCCUUGAAUAUGUUAAGGAGAAAGGCCGCCGGCGCACGUUGGUGCCACAGUGGAUCUCCCCCAGCAGCUCGUGGUAGAACAAAUAGUCAUCAAUGAAGAUACAGUGGAGGCCCAGCGGCUCCAGCAGGGACCGCACCUUCUCCUCCAGGCAGCACUGGCCGUUGAUGAUGGGCCCGAAGGGCUUGGGGAUGCCCAGGUACUUGCCCAAGACCACCAUGUUGACCUGCAGAAGAGAAGGCGAGAGGGGAGCCCUGCUGGCUGGGGAUGCUCUACACAUGGGGGACCCAUCCCCAGGCCUGGCCCAUCCUCAUCAGCAUCCCUGGGCCACCAGGAUGGGCACUUGCUCCAAAACUAGGGUCUAUGGAGAAAAGAAACGGAUUUGUGGUUGGAAGAGAGGAUUCAUACCAGGUGGGGCUGCCGGGAACACCCAUGGCAGCUUUAUAGGAAUGAAAGUAUUCCUCCAAUACUUUCUUCCAUCUAUCAGAAAAUGGUCAAUUUUCCAACAUAAAUUGUUGGAAAAUAAAUGUUAGAACAAGAUUUUACCAUCAUCUGCCACAAACUUCAGACAACAAAUACCUAUGAGGUCUACAGCGUGCACGUCCUUACAGGUGUGGAGCCCUUGUGCAGUGCACAGCUUGCUCACCUUUCCCGGGAAGCCCUGAUAAGUGUUAUGGUUUAUUGAACAUCUCCUGUGUGCCAGAUACAUCAUCACUAAACCUCACUCCUCCCUCUGAGUCAGUGGCUGGGAAGGUUAGUAACAUAAUCCAGGCCACACAAUCAGAGAACGGAGAGAUUAAAAUUCGAUGUGGGUCUAACUCAUGCCCAAACUCACACUCUUUAUACUCCACCAACGUAUAGCACUACAGCUGCCUGGGGGAGCCGAGGAGUUGGGGCGAGGGGCUAGGAGCCCUUGGGGACAUCUCCUGCUUCCCUGGCUGAGGGCCCUAACCCUGCGGAAGGGAGGCCUCCCCAGGGCAGGGUAUGGAAGGGUCUCAGAGAAGACCUCGGCCUUACAUUGAUGGCCAGAGGAGCUGUGCUUGGAGUUCAAAGGGGACCCUCUGGACCUACUGUCUGGAGGGUAGUGCUGGGUCAUCUCAGCACGGGGUGGGCUGCCCUAGACUCUGCGCUCUCACAUUCUCCAUGCCGUGGCCCUGUCACCAUCAGGUCUGCCCUGCAGGGCCAUCAUGAAGCUGGAGGAUCCUCUGGGGUCAGCGCCAGGGCCUUGGUCCUGAGCUACCCACGUGCCCCCUGAUGGGCUGGGAUGUGCUGAGUGAAGUGGGGCACGUAGAGGCGCAAAAGGCCAGGAGGGGAGCCAGUCCGGGUCUGCUUCUUCCUAGAUGAGAACUCAGGAGAUGGGAGGCUCCUCAUGUGCUGGGUGACCUCAGGCCAGGCAAGCACCCUCCUCAGAGGGCCUGUCUCCCCAUCUAACAAAUGAGGGGGUUAAGGGAGUGUCCCCCAUGGGCUCUCCCCUGAGGACGUACUGGGAUCCUUUAGCGGGGUCUGGACCAAAGCUCAGAGAUCCCCACAGAGGGGUGCGUGUUGGGGUCGGGGCUCCCAGCUGGUGUGGGCAAGGCCACAGCCCAGAGAGGGCUGGCCAAGGUCAUGGGCUCUGGCCCAGGCCCUCCCCUAACCUUCAGCCAGAACCAGAGCCUGGAUGCCCCUUAGUCCUUCCCUGACCAGUAGGGCAGCCACUGGCCACAUGCAGCAGUUGAAAUUUAAAUGAAA